AAUUGAAUUCUCCGUGAAGAUGCGGAGUACCCGCGGUUAGACGGAAAGACCCCGUGCACCUUUACUACAGCUUCACACUGGCAUCAGGCACAACAUGUGCAGGAUAGGUGGUAGACUUUGAAGCAGGAACGCUAGUUCCUGUGGAGUCAUCCUUGAGAUACCACCCUUGUUCUGCUUGAUGUCUAACCGCGGUCCGUUAUCCGGAUCCGGGACCAUGCGUGGUGGGUAGUUUGACUGGGGUGGUCGCCUCC
rnacentral:rRNA from 1 species